rnacentral:rRNA from 1 species
UACGUAGGGGGCAAGCGUUAUCCGGAUUUACUGGGUGUAAAGGGAGCGUAGACGGCGCUGCAAGUCUGAAGUGAAAGCCCGGGGCUCAACCCCGGGACUGCUUUGGAAACUGUAAUGCUAGAGUGCUGGAGAGGUAAGUGGAAUUCCUAGUGUAGCGGUGAAAUGCGUAGAUAUUAGGAGGAACACCAGUGGCGAAGGCGGCUUACUGGACAGUAACUGACGUUGAGGCUCGAAAGCGUGGGGAGCAAACAGG